GCCGGGCAUGGUGGCGCAUGCCUGUAAUCCCAGCUACUCGGGAGGCUGAGACAGGAGAAUCGCUUGAACCCGGGAGGUGGAGGUUGCAGUGAGCCGAGAUCGCACCACUGCACUCCAGCCUGGGCAACAAGAGCGAAACUCUGUCUCAA
rnacentral:sRNA from 1 species